rnacentral:rRNA from 1 species
GACGAGGGACCUAGCGUUGUUCGGAAUCAUUGGGCGUAAAGGGUGCGUAGGUGGCCAUGUAAGUCAGUUGUGAAAUCCCCGGGCUCAACCCGGGGAAGUGCUUCUGAUACUGCUUGGCUUUGAAUAUUGGAGAGGUGAGUGGAAUUCCAGGUGUAGUGGUGAAAUACGUAGAUAUCUGGAGGAAUACCGGCGGCGAAGGCGGCUCACUGGCCAUAUAUUGACACUGAAGCACGAAAGCGUGGGGAG